AUACGAAGGGGGCUAGCGUUGUUCGGAAUUACUGGGCGUAAAGCGUGCGCAGGCGGUUUUGUAAGUCGGAUGUGAAAUCCCCGGGCUCAACCUGGGAACUGCGUUCGAAACUGCAAGGCUAGAGUGUGUCAGAGGGGGGUAGAAUUCCACGUGUAGCAGUGAAAUGCGUAGAGAUGUGGAGGAAUACCAAUGGCGAAGGCAGCCCCCUGGGAUAACACUGACGCUCAUGCACGAAAGCGUGGGGAGCAAACAGGAUUAGAUACCCUGGUAGUCCACGCCCUAAACGAUGUCAACUAGUUGUUGGUAGAGUAAAAUCUAUGAGUAACGUAGCUAACGCGUGAAGUUGACCGCCUGGGGAGUACGGUCGCAAGAUUAAA
rnacentral:rRNA from 1 species